rnacentral:rRNA from 1 species
AACGAACGCUGGCGGCAGGCCUAACACAUGCAAGUCGAGCGCCCUUUCGGGGGAGCGGCGGACGGGUGAGUAACGCGUGGGAAUAUGCCCUUCUCUACGGAAUAGCCUCGGGAAACUGAGAGUAAUACCGUAUACGCCCUAUGGGGGAAAGAUUUAUCGGGGAAGGAUUAGCCCGCGUUGGAUUAGGUAGUUGGUGGGGUAAUGGCCUACCAAGCCGACGAUCCAUAGCUGGUUUGAGAGGAUGAUCAGCCACACUGGGACUGAGACACGGCCCAGACUCCUACGGGAGGCAGCAGUGGGGAAUCUUAGACAAUGGGGGCAACCCUGAACUAGCCAUGCCGCGUGAGUGAUGAAGGCCUUAGGGUUGUAAAGCUCUUUCAGCUGGGAAGAUAAUGACGGUACCAGCAGAAGAAGCCCCGGCUAACUCCGUG